rnacentral:rRNA from 1 species
UACGGAAGGCAGCAGUGGGGAAUAUUGCACAAUGGGCGAAAGCCUGAUGCAGCUAUGCCGCGUGUAUGAAGAAGGCCUUAGGGUUGUAAAGUACUUUCAUCGGGGAGGAAAAACAAAACUAAUAAUUUUAUUUCUUGACGUUACCCGAAAAAGAAGCACCGGCUAACUCCGUGCCAGCAGCCGCGGUAAUACGGAGGGUGCUAGCGUUAAUCAGAAUUACUGGGCGUAAAGAGCACGUAGGUGGUUUUUUUAAGUCAGAUGUGAAAUCCCUGGGCUUAACCUAGGAACUGCAUUUUGAAACUGAAAUACUAGAGUAUCGUAGAGGGAGGUAGAAGUUCUAGGUGUAGCGGUGAAAUGCGUAGAUAUCUGGAGGAAUACCUGUGGCGAAAGCGGCCUCCUAAACCGAAUACUGACACUGAGGUGCGAAAGCGUGGGGAGCAAACGAGGGAUUAGAUACC